rnacentral:rRNA from 1 species
CUUGCUAUAACUGUCAGCUAAGUGGCGUACGGGUGAGUAAUAUAUAGGUAAUGUGCCCUAGAGAGGGGGAUAACAGUUGGAAACGACUGCUAACACCCCAUAUGCCUUUAAAACAUAAGUUUGCAAGGGAAAUAUUUAUAGCUCUAGGAUCGGCCUGUAGUAUCAGCUUGUUGGUGAGGUAAUGGCUCACCAAGGCUAUGACCCCUAACUGGUUUGAGAGGAUGAUCAGUCACACUGGAACUGAGACACGGUCCAGACUCCUACGGGAGGCAGCAGUGGGGAAUAUUGCACAAUGGGGGAAACCCUGAUGCAACAACGCCGCGUGGAGGAUGACACAUUUCGGUGCGUAAACUCCUUUUAUAUAGGAAGAUAAUGACGGUACUAUAUGAAUAAGCGCCGGCUAACUCCGUGCCACCAUCCGCGGUAAUACGAGGCGCAAGCGUUACUCGGAAUCACUGGGCGUAA